rnacentral:rRNA from 1 species
UAGCAUAAGCUAGUAUCGCUGCGUGAAUACAUAGCGCAGCGAGGCGAACCGGGGGAACUGAAACAUCUAAGUACCCCGAGGAAAAGAAAUCAACCGAGAUUCCGAAAGUAGCGGCGAGCGAAAUUGGACUAGCCCUUAAGCUUUAUAUGCGUUAGACGAACGGUCUGGAAAGUCCGGCGAUACAGGGUGAUAGCCCCGUAGUUGACAACGCACAUUCAGUGAAAUCGAGUAGGGCGGGACACGUGAUAUCCUGUCUGAA